rnacentral:rRNA from 1 species
GACGAACGCUGGCGGCGUGCCUAAUACAUGCAAGUCGAACGAGAGCAACCGGUGCUUGCACUGGUCAAUCUAGUGGCGAACGGGUGAGUAACACGUGGGUAACCUGCCCAUCAGAGGGGGAUAACAUCCGGAAACGGAUGCUAAAACCGCAUAGGUCUUCGAACCGCAUGGUUUGAAGAGGAAAAGAGGCGCAAGCUUCUGCUGAUGGAUGGACCCGCGGUGCAUUAGCUAGUUGGUGAGGUAACGGCUCACCAAGGCCGUGAUGCAUAGCCGACCUGAGAGGGUGAUCGGCCACAUUGGGACUGAGACGCGGCCCAAACUCCUACGGGAGGCAGCAGUAGGGAAUCUUCCGCAAUGGACGCAAGUCUGACGGAGCAACGCCGCGUGAGUGAAGAAGGUUUUCGGAUCGUAAAACUCUGUUGUUAGAGAAGAACAAGUGCUAGAGUAACUGUUAGCGCCUUGACGGUAUCUAACCAGAAAGCCACGGCUAACUACGUG